UGCAUCUGAAUUUGCAAGGAUUUCAUCAAAAUUUGCAACCCCUUCUUGGUUUUCAACCUGCCACAUACAUUUGAAGUAACAGACAGAAUAAGUGACCAGAAACAGAUCCAGAAUCACUUAUCUUUUCCAUAAAAGAGAACGCAACACGACAUACCUUAGACAUGAGCAUAAUGUUCUUGGCAUGUUUUCCCAGAACUUUCCUGACUUCCACCAGGUCAGAACCUUUUCGAACAAAA